rnacentral:rRNA from 1 species
AGUCGUAACAAGGUUUCCGUAGGUGAACCUGCGGAAGGAUCAUUACAGUAUUCUUUUUGCCAGCGCUUAAUUGCGCGGCGAAAAAACCUUACACACAGUGUUUUUUGUUAUUACAAGAACUUUUGCUUUGGUCUGGACUAUAAAUAGUUUGGGCCAGAGGUUUACUGAACUAAACUUCAAUAUUUAUAUUGAAUUGUUAUUUAUUUAAUUGUCAAUUUGUUGAUUAAAUUCAAAAAAUCUUCAAAACUUUCAACAACGGAUCUCUUGGUUCUCGCAUCGAUGAAGAACGCAUCGAAAUGCGAUAAGUAAUAUGAAUUGCAGAUUUUCGUGAAUCAUCGAAUCUUUGAACGCACAUUGCGCCCUCUGGUAUUCCAGAGGGCAUGCCUGUUUGAGCGUCAUUUCUCUCUCAAACCUUCGGGUUUGGUAUUGAGUGAUACUCUUACUCGAACUAUGCGUUUGCUUGAAAUGUAUUGGCAUGAGUGGUACUGGAUAGUGCUAUAUGACUUUCAAUGUAUUAUGUUUAUCCAACUCGUUGAAUAGUUUAAUGGUAUAUUUCUCGGUAUUCUAGGCUCGGCCUUACAAUAUAACAAACAAGUUUGACCUCAAAUCAGGUAGGAUUACCCGCUGAACUUAAGCAUAUCAAUAAGUCG